GUAAGGAAUAUUGGUCAAUGGACGCAAGUCUGAACCAGCCAUGCCGCGUGAAGGAUGAAGGUCCUCUGGAUUGUAAACUUCUUUUAUAGGGGAAGAAACCACCGAUUUCUAUUGGUGUUGACGGUACCCUAGGAAUAAGCACCGGCUAACUCCGUGCCAGCAGCCGCGGUAAUACGGAGGGUGCAAGCGUUAUCCGGAUUCACUGGGUUUAAAGGGUGCGUAGGAGGGCAGGUAAGUCAGUGGUGAAAUCUCCAAGCUUAACUUGGAAACUGCCGUUGAUACUAUCUGUCUUGAAUAUUGUGGAGGUGAGCGGAAUAUGUCAUGUAGCGGUGAAAUGCUUAGAUAUGACAUAGAACACCAAUUGCGAAGGCAGCUCGCUACACAAAUAUUGACUCUGAGGCACGAAAGCGUGGGGAUCAAACAGGAUUAGAUACCCUGGUAGUCCACGCCCUAAACGAUGGAUACUCGACAUACGCGAUACACUGUGUGUGUCUGAGCGAAAGCAUUAAGUAUCCCACCUGGGAAGUACGACCGCAAGGU
rnacentral:rRNA from 1 species